ACAAACUUGGUCAUUUAGAGGAAGUAAAAGUCGUAACAAGGUUUCCGUAGGUGAACCUGCGGAAGGAUCAUUAACAGCCAUCCACGCACAAGUGGAUUGCGCUUUGUGUUGUGUGAGGUGUGCAUGUUUCUUGGUCACUUGUCGCAACAGUGGCCAAGAGCCUGCCCUUUUUAUUCCUUUUUUACUGUGUCUGAUUUUUUUUGCGAAAAACAUAAAACUGCCAGCAAUGGAUCCCUCGGUUCUCGCAUCGAUGAAGAACGCAGC
rnacentral:misc_RNA from 1 species